CUCCAUCUGCAGACUGCAAGGACUGGCCGCAUUCAACUUGUAAUGAAACGGGAAAUGGACGAAGACGGUGCCUUUGCGGUUCAACCUUUCAUUGGGAUGGCUCGGCUUUGAAUUGUCUCAAGCUGGACAGUUGGUAAGGUCUCCUGAUAAAAGCAAGCCACUCCCUUUGAUCCUUGGAAUAUCUCUGCCAAUUGGGAUGACCAUUUUGUGCGCUGUAGCUUCGGUUUACACAUGGAGAACAAAGGUGGUGAAGAAGAGAAGAAAA